GGCCCAGCGGGGUGGGCGGCCCGCGGUCCGAGCCGUCCGUCGCGGCGCCGGGACACUCCCGCCGCCUCCACUGUGUCCCUCUGUCCCUGGGAGUGUGGGCAGGGCUGCUGGGGGCUUCCGUGGGCUCAGCCUCUCCCACUUCGGGAGGAAAAAGCAGGGGGAAGCCCCCGGCGCCCGGCGCCUCCGGAGAACCGCGGUCCCCGGAGCUGGAGAGGCGCUGAAGACGAGGCCGGGCGGGGCCCAGGGCGCUGUGACUGUCGCCGUCCGUGUCCGGAGCGGCCGCCCGCGCCCGCCCGCUCGGCGCCCCGGGCCCCCAGCCCCGGGCGUAGGCGCCCCACCCUGCCCGGAGCGGGCGACGGCGGCCAGGGGCGCGCGGGGCAUCCGUCACGGGGCCUCGCCGCGGCCUCCAGCUCCCCAGCCUCGGGGAAUGCAGUGGCCCCCGACCCCUGGCGCCUCUCGCUGCCUGGGCUGGGCCUCCUCGCUCGCGUGCUCCGCGGCCACGACGCUCCUCGGCCGCGCCGGCCAGACCCCCCUCAUGGCCGCCAAGUGGUUCAAGGAGUUCCCGCUGAACCUGAAGACCGUGUCCGAGCGCGCCAAGCCCGGGGGCGCGGGCAGCGGCAAGCCGCGCAAGAGCGCCGAGGCCAGCGGUGCGGGGCCCGUUCCCGGCAAGGGCCGCAAGAACUCGGCGGCCGAGCUGGGGGCCGGGAGGGCCGGCGGCGCCCCCAAGGACAGCCGGCUGUCCCGGGACAGCCUUCAGGGUCUGAUUCAGGCCGCGGCGGGCAAAGGCCGCAAGAACUCCCGGGCCACGGAGGAGGAGCCCCACCGGGGCACGGCCAAGAGCUCGGGCUGCAGCACCUACAUCAACAGGCUCAUCAAGGUGGACACCCAGGAGAAGAACGGAAAGAGCAGCUACCCCGGCGGCGGCGGCAGCAGCAGCAGCACCAGCAGCACCAGCAGCAGCUGCUCCUCUGCGUCCUCUUCACCUUCCUCCCUCGGCCCCGAGCUGGACAAGGGCAAGAUCAUGAAGCAGCAGGACACGGUAAGAAUUCACCCUCCCUCGAGCCACUUCGCAGUGCCAGGGGACCACUGUGAGCCCCUGAGCAGGAGGCUUCACACCUAAGAGAAAGGGAGGCUGGACCCCCAAAGUCCGCCCCCCCCUCUCUAGCCAUCCUUUGAAAUCAUUCCAGUAUAUAUGAUCCUGGAAAAUCCUCAUCCUCGGGCUGGAGGACUUUGCAGAAAUGGACUAGUAAAUGUAUUUAGUGUUUGGGGCUUUCUGCUGUUGUUGUCUUGUUUUGGUACCAGGGAUUGAAAUACUCAGGGACACUCCACCACUGAGCCACAUCCCUGUAUUUAGUUUUGUUAGUUUAAAGAGUAAUUGAAAGUGGUAAAUUGGCCCCUUUAUAGAUGUGGUUUAUUUUAAUUUUGACAUCCAGGGCAUCUGCAAAGCUAGACUUGUGUAUGCCUAUCCUAGAGCAUAAGGAAUGGUCACCUCUUAACUGGGUAGGUGUGGAUUUGGAAGCUUCAGGAAAUGGGGGGGGCACCCACUUCUGGGCUGGCUUUGGGAUUUCAUCAUCCCCUGCAGUUACACCUCAUAAAAGGUUUCUCAAAAUUUCAGCAACCCUGCAAGAUGACAGUCCUUCCAUUCAUUCCGCAGACAUUUGCUGUGCAGUAGUCAUAUAGGAUAAGGGACACAGGGUACUGAAGCUUAAGGGACUAUGACAAGGAAAUGCCCUUAGGGAAAUUACUGAGCAGGAAAGAAGAAGGUACUUCCUGCUUCUGAUUCACUGGAGGUUUUCUGGGUGCUGUCCAAUGUGGGAAAGUAAGAAAAGGGAUGUGGACAUGGGAGGGGACUCUGCAUUCUUUUUUUUUUUAAUUUUGUUUUAGUUGUUGAUGGGCUUUUUAAAAUUUUUAUUUACUUAUAUAUGGUGCUAAGGAUUGAACCCAAUGCCUCACACAUGCGAGGCCAGCGCUCCACCGCCAAGCCACAAACCCAGCCCGGACUCUCCAUUCUUACAGGAAUGAGCUGAUUUGGUUGGUUGGUUGGUUGGGUUGGGUCAUUUCUCUUCCACAUGAAAGAGGGAGAAGGAGAGGGGAGGGCUCAAAUUGAGAUCUUAAGACUCAUUCAGGCAAGUGCUUCCUGUCAUAGGAACUUUAAUUUUUUUCUUGGGAGCCUUCAAACAUGCUGCAUACCUGGACAGUUAGGAACCUGUAGCGCAGACCACGCGGCAUGCUCUGGGCACCUGCAUUCAUUCCUCCAUUCAGUUCUGCCCCCAGUAUUCACAGCGUGCCGACCCUAUGCCAGGUGCUGAUAAGAGAGAACAGAAAGAUGGACAGGACCCAGCCCAUAGGUUACUUGGUGUCCACCUGACCAGGGACCUAGUAUCCCGUCUGUGCCUUGCAGCUGCAGUGCACAUGUUGGUGGUCAAGGAGAAGAGAUGGAGUGAGGGGUCAUCACAGUCCUCCACAGGCUGCUGGCUGUUUCCUGGGCACCACUUCUGGGGGUCUGAGGUUUCUUGGGCCAUCUCCCCCCUGGUGGAGAACUCUUCUCCUGACCCCCUCUUCACUUCUCCCUCGUUUAUCUUCCUGCCAGCUCCAGUGGCUCUUCUCCAGGAACUUUUUGGAGACAGUUUUAUAUCAGAGGUGGUGGAAUAGGUCCAGAGCUGCUUUCCUGAAAAGGGUCACUUGUUUUUGGUGUUGUCACCCAGUCACUGCAGAAUAGAGUUAUGGCACACACCUCUCUCUAGGUACCUUCCAUUUUGGAAAGAUAACUGUUCUCAGACACAAAUACCAUCAAAACCAUCUGAUGAUCUCAGAGAAUCAAGCUGCCUGUGAAUUGCUGAACCUUGAACUCCUAUAACACUGUUCAGCAUUAUUUCUCCUUCAUGAAGUCUGUCUCUUUUAGAACUAUUUUAAAAUUCCUUGAGGGCAAGAAGCAAGUCUUGGGUUCAUUUUGACUCCCUCACCAUGCUCAUCCCCGCGUGCUGGGGAAUGACUGGCUGACUCACUGUGACCGGUGCUCAGCUGACUGGGCUUGAAAGACCCACAACCCGGGGUAUGUGAUAGACCAGUUAGUCUUUUCUUUUUGUCUUUUUUCCUUUUAGGUAGUGAGGAUUGAACCCAGACAUCAGUGACCCUUUUAUUUUGAGACAGGGUUUUGCUAAGUUGCUGAGGCUGGCCUUGAACUUGUGGUCCUCCUUCCUCAGCCUCUCAAGUCACUGAAAUCACCUGCACCACCGCCCAGGCUCCAGUUCACCUUUUUAUAUGCUAAGCCAUAGACACCCUGUAUUUCCCACUGCCCACUCACCCUCUAACUGACAAAUGCUUUAUUGCUUGGGGAGAGAAAAGAAGGUAAGAGGAAUUUCGGGGAUAAGUGAAAGAGUGUAUAGGAAUGGUUGCAAAUCAGUUGUAUCACCAAGAUUAAAAGUAAGUCGUUUGUCCAGCGGAGACGCAUGGUCAAGUGUGAAAGCUGUCUGGAACCCGCGGGAGACUUUGAUUCUCUUCAGAUCUGCAGGAGAUUUCAGUAGCCGUCUUGAUGGCAUUACCAUUUGGUAUAUGAUCACCCUUAGUAACUGUCCUCUUGUUAUUUGAUAGGUCAUCAUUUUAGAAGACUACGCUGACCCUUACGAUGCCAAACGGACAAAGGGUCAGCGGGAUGCAGAGAGAGUGGGUGAGAAUGACGGUUACAUGGAGCCCUACGAUGCCCAGCAAAUGAUAACAGGUUUGUGACAGGGGCAGAAAUCUCACCCUCCCUUGAAGUGUUAUAAUAUGGUAACCAGAGUCUAUUUGGGGGAAGGGGAGAAAGCAAUUAAGCCAGAUCCUGCUGAGCUGAAAAAGCAGAAAUUAGACCCCAAACUAAAAUGUUGGCUUAGGGACCUUCCCAGGUUUAGAAUCGGCA
rnacentral:lncRNA from 1 species